AGACAUCGGUAUCCUGACAUUCUGUAUAUUUUAAUUCGUGGCUAUGGUACAUUCACUUUACCUAGAUCUGUUCAAGUCUAUUCAGUAUUUCGACUGACAGUAAAAGUUCAGAAAGUUUAUUAUCGACAAAUUUUAUUUGCGAUUCAAAUAAUUAAACUCUUAGUAAAGUUAUAAAAGUAUUUUAUUUUAAUUCUUGAAAUAUGGUGAGUAGAACUUGGUAAUUAUUAAUAUAUUUCAUUAAUAAUUACAUUAUAAUAUUGUUAAUCUACCUAAUGAUAUGUAUUUUAUAUAAAUUAAGGAAAAUUCUAUCCCAAUUGAAAUCCAUGCUCAAAAAUUGAGUGAAUGGUUAAUGAGUAGAAAACACUGUAAGAAAGAUUGGCAUUCACAUAUACAAUUAAUUAGAGAAAAAAUCAACACAGCUAUACAAGACAUGCCCGAAAAUAAGGAAAUCGUUCAACUGUUGUCUGGAACUUGUAUGUAUUAAAAACCUUAUAUUUUUAUUAAUAUUUUCCAUUGAUUUUUUUUUUUUUUUGUAUUAGAUAUUAAUUAUUUCUAUUGCAAACGUAUAAUUGAAAUAUUAAAAGAAACCGAAGCGAACACAAAAAAUUUAUUUGGAUCAUAUGGUUCACAGAGAAUGAAGGAUUGGUUAGAAAUCGAAAAACUUUACUUAAAAGACAAUGUAUAUCUGGCGGAAGCUUGUGAUCUUCUUGUACAAAACAUCAAGUACCAUAUACCCGCAAUCAAGAAGCAAAUAACUAAAACACAGUCUGGUCAAUCAGUAAGACAAUUAUAAAUAAUAUAAAAUCCUUUUAGUGAUAUUUUUAAUUUUUAUUUAAUUUGUAUUGUAUAGGAUUGUGAUAAAAAAAUUGAAGAUUACACUAAAUCUAUUCAAACAUCACGUAAAGAUCUGGAAUCACUACAAAAACAGUUUUCCAUUUCUGGGGACAGUAACAGUUUUAAACGUACACUUAUUGAAAGAAUUUGUGAACUUAAAAAAGUUUACGAAGAUGUUAUGGAACAUGUAAAAAUUCUUAAGAAAGCAAAUACUUAUUUUUCUUCUUUUAUCACAGAUAUUCUGGGUUUAAAUAUUAACCUUACUAUGCUUCAAUAUAUAUUAAGUAAUAAUUAUUGUCCUUAAAAAUAUUAUUUUCAUCCAUAUUGUUUAAAAUAGCAGACUAAUACUUUCAGAUAAUGGCAACACUACCUAUUAUGAAUACCUAUAUGGGGAGAAACCAAGUCGAAUAGAAGAACCCGUAAUUUCAAUUGAAGAAAAUAAUAAAGUAUGUUUAUUUAUAGAUACAAAUUGAGUGUCGGUUAAAAGACAUUUUAUUUAUUGUAGGAUACAAUUGAUGAUGAAGAAAUUGACUGGGGUGAUCUGGAUAAUCCAUCUGAAGUGUGUAAAUUAUAAAUUAAAAUUACAUUAUACAACUGAAUGUGAUAUUGCAUUAUUAAAAAAAAAAAAUAAUAUUUUAAACUAUAAAAUAUCCUCAUUGUAUGCAGGGUAUUGACUAUGGUAUUACUUUGGAAGAAAGUGGAAUAGUUGUUGAAAGUCUACAAACUGAUGAAAGUAUUGCCAGGGGUAACGAAGCUUUGACUUUAUUGGAUAAUUUAAAAACAAGAAGCGAGUUAAUGAACGAUAUUUUAGAAGUGAGAUACUAUAGUAAAUUUGUGUUGUACUGUAGAAUUAUUUAUCAAUAUAUUAUCAAAUUUUCAAUACAAGCCAUAAUAUAUUUAUAUAUAUCAUAUUUAUUAUUGUUUUUUUUUUUAGUUAGAAUCAUUUUUAAAUAUGCGGUUGCUAGGAUUGUCAAAUUCUACAUUAUCUGUCCAAUCUGGAGUUGAAAUAAAUGAAUCCAAACCAGAGAUAGUAUCCAUGUUAGAUGUUAUAAAAGUAAUCAAGCAAAAGCUAAAUGAUCCAGUUGUACAACAUUUACAGCAAAUUAAACAUUCACAGAGGUAAAAAAUCAAAAGGUUUUAAUGAUUUUAGUUGUAUAACACAGAACGUUAAUAUUUUUUCAUUUUUUUUUUAAAACAAAAAUAAUCAGAUAUUUAAAUAAGCUGGAGGCAACAUUUUUUCAAAAAGUCAAUAAUAUAGAGAAAAUGAUCAAUUCUCAGAUAGCUGUAAGACACCGAAAAAAGGAAUUAGCCGAUGAAUAUGACCAACUAGUUCCUAAGUUAAAAUUGAUACAACAAAAAAACAAGCAAUUAAUAACAGAAGUGAGUAUUUUUAUUUUCUGUUAACGAUUUUUACAAAAAAUCGUAUUUCGAUAUAUUCUAGUAGUAACAUUUGUCUAACUGGUGAAUUAGGGAGAUAAUUGGUUAUUUUUUUUUGUAGUUUUCUUAAUAAUUAGGAAAACCUGAUGCAUGAAAUCUUCUCCGAAUAUUUAAAUUAGCCUUUUAUAGAUAUAAUAAAGUGUUCAAAACAUUCAUAUUCAUUUGAAAUUGUUUUGUUUUUAUAUGUGGAUAAAAUUGUUUUGACCCAGCAAAAGUGCUCGAAAAUUUAACAUGAGUCAUUUGUCAUAAAUUAUUUAUUAGUGGUUUUAAAAAAACGGUCAUAUAGUUAUUUUUGUUAUAAGUUAUUAAAGUUCAAAUUUUAAUCAACAUUGUACAAAUACAGAAUUUUAAAUACAUUUUCAACUUUUCACCUAGAGCUGCAUCCAGUCUACAAGAUACAUUUUUGACAAAAUGUUUCUGACAAAAUUAUCGGAAAAAAACAAAUUGUAAAUUAAAAACAUAUGCAUCCAGACCAACCUAUAAACAUUUAUUCAUUACCAAUGUUUAAUGAGUUUUUUUAUCCUUCAAAAACAUCAAGGACUUGAAGGAAAACCAUUUUGGUUCUGCAACUUCUUUAGUUCCAGUAGUCUUUUUGCAUUACAGUAAAAUUAGCCAACGACAGUUUUCAUUUUUUUUUUUUUUCAAUUUCUACAUUAUUAAUAUUGAUAAUUCUUAAAAUUUCACACAAAAUGUAAUUUUUUUAAAUUUAUUUCAGAUUCUGAGUGGUAUGAGGAAUGUAUUGUUUCUACAAUAAUGUUUAUUUUUUCAUCUGAACAACUUUUCUAGCAAAAAUUUUGCUCCAAUUUAUAAUAAUAGCACUUUUUCUGAAUGGAAACUUGACUGGGGUGGUACUUUAGGGAGGUCAGUUUUUUGAUUUUUUGACAGAAAAAUAGGUACAAUAUAAAACAAAUAUUAUUAAAGAAAAUGUAAUAUGCAAUACGUAUAUGUAAUUAUUUUACCAUAAUAAUAUGAUAUAUAAAUUGUUAACAAAGCAAUAAUAUGAAUCAAAGUCGGCUCAGAAUCUUUUUUUCUUUAUCAAAGGUUUAUCGUUGCAUACAAAAAUACAUUACAUUUCCCCUCUACUACCUUUUCAACUACUCACUUAUAACAGUGGCUGCACCUGUCCCCAUUAUCUUAGGACAGCUUUUUACUAUUUAACUGCAUUUUUUCCUGUAAUAUUGGCCUUUCAUAAUAUAAAUCAAUUAACUGACAAGUUUUAUCCCUAGUUAACUCCAUUGUGUUUUUUGUAGAAAGGUACAAAAUAUAUAUAUUAAAAUAUUUAAAGUGCAUACAAUUUAUUUAUUUGUAUAUCAUUAGUUUAUGUUAAAACUAAUUGUCUAACUGGACGUUUGUACUGUGUACACAAAAUAAUACAAUUUCAUAAAAAUAUCAAAAUGUUAGUAAUGAUGAUAAAAGUUGACUAGUCUGGACAUGGUGAUACAUCGUCAACGACAAUAUUAAUAAACAUUAUUUGAAAUUUAUCUCUAUUUUUUCUAAUCAUUAUGAAAUCAUUUAAGCUUUAUUUAAAAAUCAUUUUUAAUUUUUUACCUCUACUCCAUAUACUCCAUAAGUGCAUACUUUUGAUUUUGCAAUAGGAACCCUCCCUUUUUAAACACUAAUUUGAAUAUGGAGAAUAUUUUCUAGAAAUGAUGAUAUACAUCACAUUAAUAUCAGAUUUACUAUUUAUCAGAUAUAACAAUUUAAAGUUUAUAUUAAUCAAUAUUAAUCCACCUUAAUAUAUGAAUAAUGGUUAUCUACAAAUUGUUGACCUUAUCUUCUAAGAUUGUGUAACCACAGAAUAAAAAUAAAGUUGAUAACCAAUAUAUUUCGUUUAAUCAACUAUCAAAGUUAUAUAAUUAAAAAAGAGCCAAUACUUGGGACAGGUAAGACUGUUCUAAUUGGGAUGGUAAGAUAGUUAUUUUCUAUUUUGUAUCAAUAUAUUGACUAAAGUAAUAUAAUGUAUAUAAUAUUUUCAGAUUGAACUUGAUAUAUCAAAGAAAUAUAAAGGCCGUCCUGUGUAUAUAAUUGGAACAUCAAUAUUUGGGUUUUAAAUACUAAAUAUAAUGUUACACAAAUAGUUUUAUAAAUAUAUAAAACGAAAUAUGAUUUUGUGUGGUUUACUAAUAAAAUAGUAUAAGUAAAUAUUACAUACACAUUUAUUUGGAUAUUAUUUUUUUUUUUAUUGUUCAUAAUAAAUGUUUUUUUUUUUUUGUUUUACAUGCCAAUUACAUUUUUUUUUUUCAAUAUUAUAUUUAGAAACAUUGAAUAAAUUUAUAAAUUCUAUUUACUAAAAUAAACAAGAGAAACAAAAUUGAUGCUCACAUAUAUUUAAUACACAGUAUAAAAACAAAAUAUUGUGAACAGUAUACAUCUUGCUGUUCAGACAUGUAUUUAAGAAAUAAAGAAGUCCACUUCAACGCUUCAUGAUCCU